CAGUCGCCACGGUAAUACAGAGGGUGCGAGCGUUAAUAGGAUUUACUGGGCGUAAAGCGUGCGUAGGCGGCUUUUUAAGUCGGAUGUGAAAUCCCUGAGCUUAACUUAGGAAUUGCAUUAGAUACUGGGAAGCUAGAGUAUGGGAGAGGAUGGUAGAAUUCCAGGUGUAGCGGUGAAAUGCGUAGAGAUCUGGAGGAAUACCGAUGGCGAAGGCAGCCAUCUGGCCUAAUACUGACGCUGAGGUACGAAAGCAUGGGGAGCAAACAGGAUUAGAUACCCCUGUAGUCCCUGUCUCUUAUAA
rnacentral:rRNA from 1 species